rnacentral:tRNA from 1 species
CACGGCGCCGCGCACCGUCGAGGUGCCCGCGGACUUCCAGGCCGCGCUCGAAGCGGCCCCGGGUGCCGUGGCGGCGUUCGAGGCGCUGGCGCCGAGUC